AAUCUUAGCAUUCUUUUUUUUGUUGUUGUUGUUGUUGUUUGAGACAGAGGCUCGCCCUGUCGCCCAGGCUGGAGCGCAAUUGCGCAAUCUCGGCUCAUUGCAACCUCCACUUCUCAGGUUCAAGCAAUUCUCUUGCCUCAGCCUCUCAAGUAGUUGGGAUUACAGGCACCCACCACCACGCCCGACUAAUUUUAUGUAUUUUUAGUAGACACAGGGUUUCACCAUGUUGGCCAGGCUGCUCUCAAACUCUUGACCUGAGGUGAUCCACCUUGGCCUCCCAAAGUGUUGGGACUACAGGCGUGAGCCACUGCACCUGACUUAAUCUUAGCAUUCUUAAUGAAGACUUACAGUACAUAAGCCAUGAUUUUUUUGGUCAGGCAAUCAAUAGUUACUUAUUAGUGUCUACUCAAUGCAAAGCACCUUUCUUGGCAUUCUGGAGAAACAAAGAGAGAUUAUAAUUUAGGGAAGGAGAUAAAUUAAAAGGUUAAUUUAAAAAAUGAUAAGUGCACAGUUGAAGAGAUGUCACAAGCCAAGAAGACUGGCACAAAUGGUAGUGCUAAAGGAGUUCUUGGUCAUGGUGCCAUGUGCCUGUAAUCCCAGUUACUUGAGAGGCUGUGACAGGAGGGUUGCUUGAACCAAGGUGUUCAAGACUAGCCUGAGCAACAUAGCAAGUCCCGAUCUCAAAAAAAAAAAAAAAAGUUAUAAAAAAAGAUAGGUUCAAAUCCUAGCUAGGGAAAAAAAGAUAGAAGUCACUAGACUGGCAUAUUCUACAAAAGCAUAAUUGCUAGACUUUCUUAUGCGUCCUGCCUUUGUAACUGCUGUUGCCUCUGCCUGAUCUCCUUUCCACCUACUCUUUCCCACAAACUAAUUCAUGUGCUUCAAAACUACUAUUUUUUUCGUAUCAUUUCUAAUAUGGUGCUUGAUGCCUAGAACAUGUAGUCAUCUAUGUAAUGCCCAUUCCCAACAAACUUCCAAGCUUUUGUUAAUGCUGGAAUAAAUUAAUAUAAACCUAAAGUUUAUGAAUUAGUAUAAACCUAAAUGUCUGAAAAUAAUAGACAUGUAGUAUUGUAUUCUUACCUCAAAAUAUGUUGAAUCUUGCCAACAUUAAAUCAACACUGGUGUUCUUGCCUGUUAA
rnacentral:lncRNA from 1 species